CAAAGGUUAAAAAUUUAAUUAAAAACUAAUGAAAUAUAAUUAUUUGCAAGAUUCUUAAGUUAUCCAUAUAUUUUUUAUGCUAAAGGGACAAACACAUCACAUUGAACUAUUUAAGAGGCAUUUAAUAAUGCCUGCAAUUAUAAAAGUAUUUUUACAAUAACUGGACCAUUAUAAAUAUUUAAUUUCUUUAUUAUAACAUAAACAUUAUACACUAUAAAGUGAUAAAAUCAUAUUCUUUAUUACAUACAAAGAGAUAAAAAUAUGGUUCAAACUAUCAAGUUUGUUUAUGUGGUCCUUUUAUUUAUUUCCCUAUUACUUGUUACAAAUGCACUUAAAUGUGACACUGAUGAUGAUUGUCCAAAAAGUAAUACACCCAGUGUUCCUUAUACGUGGAGGUGUUAUAAGAACACAUGUCAGUUUCUUAAAGACGGGACACUAGAAGCAUUAGUACCAAAUUGAUGAUGAUUGUAAUCAAAUGCGAUGCAGGGAAAAAUAAGUUCAUAUACUAAGAAAAUAAAUCUAUGCAAUAUAUCUUAUGCUAGAAUAUAUUAAGAAAAUAAAUCUAUGCUAAAAUAAAUCUAUUUUGCACCCAAUAAAUGUAUUUGUUUAAUAUUUCAUUUUGUAAUUUUAUGGACCUUGCAAUUAUGGCUUUGUACCCAAUAAAUAUUCUAUUUUGUUCCUCAA